rfam:TPA: Bos taurus chromosome X, whole genome shotgun sequence.
UCCCUGAUAGUUCAGUUGGUAAAGAAUCUGCCUGCAAUGCAGGAGACCCUGGUUCAAUUCCUGGGUUGGGAA